rnacentral:rRNA from 1 species
GACGAACGCUGGCGGCGUGCUUAACACAUGCAAGUCGAGCGGUAAGGCCCUUUCGGGGGUACACGAGCGGCGAACGGGUGAGUAACACGUGGGUGACCUGCCCUCAGCUCUGGGAUAAGCCUGGGAAACCGGGUCUAAUACUGGAUAUGACUCCAUGACGCAUGUUGUGGGGUGGAAAGCCUUGUGCGGCUGAGGAUGGGCCCGCGGCCUAUCAGCUUGUUGGUGGGGUGANGGCCUACCAAGGCGACGACGGGUAGCCGGCCUGAGAGGGCGACCGGCCACACUGGGACUGAGACACGGCCCAGACUCCUACGGGAGGCAGCAGUGGGGAAUCUUGCGCAAUGGGCGAAAGCCUGACGCAGCAACGCCGCGUGGGGAUGAAUGCC